AGUGAACGCUGGCGGUAGGCCUAACACAUGCAAGUCGAACGGCAGCACAGUAAGAGCUUGCUCUUACGGGUGGCGAGUGGCGGACGGGUGAGGAAUACAUCGGAAUCUACUUUUUCGUGGGGGAUAACGUAGGGAAACUUACGCUAAUACCGCAUACGACCUACGGGUGGAAGCAGGGGAUCUUCGGACCUUGCGCGAUUGAAUGAGCCGAUGUCGGAUUAGCUAGUUGGCGGGGUAAAGGCCCACCAAGGCGACGAUCCGUAGCUGGUCUGAGAGGAUGAUCAGCCACACUGGAACUGAGACACGGUCCAGACUCCUACGGGAGGCAGCAGUGGGGAAUAUUGGACAAUGGGCGCAAGCCUGAUCCAGCCAUACCGCGUGGGCGAAGAAGGCCUUCGGGUUGUAAAGCCCUUUUGUUGGGAAAGAAAAGCAGCAGGUUAAUACCCCGCUGUUCUGACGGUACCCAAAGAAUAAGCACCGGCUAACUUCGUG
rnacentral:rRNA from 1 species